GAGCUUCUCAGAAGAGCCAAAACAGGAACCGAGGUGGCAAAUCACUGUGCGAGGGCGAGUGGACCUCCCUCUUUGCCUCCUCCCUGUUCCAGGAGCUGGUCCCCUGGGCUCUGCGCUGUUGUUUUCAGCGCUCCGAAAGCCGGCGCUUCAGAUCCAGAAGUCUUCAGGACGGGGUGAGUUACUGAUCUCUCUCUGCUAUCAGUCCACCACAAACACUCUAACUGUGGUUGUCUUAAAAGCUCGACAUCUGCCUAAAUCUGAUGUGUCCGGACUUUCAGAUCCCUAUGUCAAAGUGAACCUGUACCAUGCCAAAAAGAGAAUCUCCAAGAAGAAGACUCAUGUGAAGAAAUGCACCCCCAAUGCAGUGUUCAAUGAGCUGUUUGUCUUUGAUAUUCCUUGUGAGGGCCUUGAAGAUAUAAGUGUUGAAUUUUUGGUUUUGGAUUCUGAAAGGGGGUCCCGAAAUGAGGUAAUCGGGCAGUUAGUCUUGGGUGCAGCAGCAGAAGGAACUGGUGGAGAGCACUGGAAAGAGAUCUGUGACUACCCCAGGAGACAAAUUGCCAAGUGGCACGUGCUCUGUGAUGGUUAGCAUCCUAGCCGUGAGUUGGAACUUAAAGGUUUUUACUAGGCAAGGAGAAAUUUUCUUUCUUUCGAUAUUGGAUUGCAAGCUUGGGAAAUCAAGCUACCUUUUUGUUGUUGUUGUUGCUAGAAAUGGAUUGAAUUAGUAGACCAGAAAGUAACUUCAA
rnacentral:sRNA from 1 species